GGGGCGGUGGCGCAGUUGGGAGCGCGUUAGACUGAAGUAAACUUCACCAUUAAUCUAAAGGUCAUCGGUUCAAGCCCGGUCCACCCCA
rnacentral:tRNA from 1 species